AGAGUUUGAUCAUGGCUCAGAUUGAACGCUGGCGGCAGGCUUAACACAUGCAAGUCGAGCGGUAACAGAGAUAGCUUGCUAUCUGCUGACGAGCGGCGGACGGGUGAGUAAUGUCUGGGAAACUGCCUGAUGGAGGGGGAUAACUACUGGAAACGGUAGCUAAUACCGCAUAACGUCGCAAGACCAAAGAGGGGGACCUUAGGGCCUCUUGCCAUCGGAUGUGCCCAGAUGGGAUUAGCUAGUAGGUGGGGUAACGGCUCACCUAGGCGACGAUCCCUAGCUGGUCUGAGAGGAUGACCAGCCACACUGGAACUGAGACACGGUCCAGACUCCUACGGGAGGCAGCAGUGGGGAAUAUUGCACAAUGGGCGCAAGCCUGAUGCAGCCAUGCCGCGUGUAUGAAGAAGGCCUUCGGGUUGUAAAGUACUUUCAGCGGGGAGGAAGGGAGUAAAGUUAAUACCUUUGCUCAUUGACGUUACCCGCAGAAGAAGCACCGGCUAACUCCGUGCCAGCAGCCGCGGGAAUACGGAGGGUGCAAGCGUUAAUCGGAAUUACUGGGCGUAAAGCGCACGCAGGCGGUUUGUUAAGUCAGAUGUGAAAGCCCCGGGCUUAACCUGGGAACUGUAUUCAAAACUGCCUAGCUAGAGUACGAUAGAGGGGGGUAGAAUUUCAGGUGUAGCGGUGAAAUGCGUAGAGAUCUGAAGGAAUACCAGUGGCGAAGGCGGCCCCCUGGAUUGAUACUGACACUGAGGUGCGAAAGCGUGGGUAGCAAACAGGAUUAGAUACCCUGGUAGUCCAUGCCGUAAACGAUGUCAACUAGCCGUUGGAAGACUUGAUCUUUUAGUGGCGCAGCUAACGCAAUAAGUUGACCGCCUGGGGAGUACGGCCGCAAGGUUAAAACUCAAAUGAAUUGACGGGGGCCCGCACAAGCGGUGGAGCAUGUGGUUUAAUUCGAAGCAACGCGAAGAACCUUACCUACUCUUGACAUCCUCAGAACUUAGCAGAGAUGCUUUGGUGCCUUCGGGAACUGAGUGACAGGUGCUGCAUGGCUGUCGUCAGCUCGUGUUGUGAAAUGUUGGGUUAAGUCCCGUAACGAGCGCAACCCUUGUCCUUAUUUGCCAGCACGUAAUGGUGGGAACUUUAAGGAGACUGCCGGUGACAAACCGGAGGAAGGUGGGGACGACGUCAAGUCAUCAUGGCCCUUAUGAGUAGGGCUACACACGUGCUACAAUGGCCGGUACAGAGGGCAGCAAGACCGCGAGGUGGAGCAAAUCCCAGAAAGCUGGUCGUAGUCCGGAUUGGAGUCUGCAACUCGACUCCAUGAAGUCGGAAUCGCUAGUAAUCGCAUAUCAGCAAUGAUGCGGUGAAUCCGUUCCCGGGCCUGGUACACACCGCCCGUCACACCAUGGGAGUGGGUUGCACCAGAAGUGGUUAGUCUAACCUUCGGGAGGACGAUCACCACGGUGUGAUUCAUGACUGGGGUGAAGUCGUAACAAGGUAGCCCUA
rnacentral:rRNA from 1 species